rnacentral:lncRNA from 1 species
UAGGCACCAGCACUUAAAGUUACCCCGUUCUCUGCUUCAGUAGGCAGUAGGAGCUAGAGGAUGGGCUGGAAGAAGAAGCAGUGGUUAGGAGGAUGUAGGAAGCUGGCAUGUUAGACCCUUGGGAGCAGAGUGAGAAAAUGCUGAGAAACAGUGGACACCCUCUUCCCAAGUAGUGCUACAUCAGUUCCCAGAGGGAUAGAUUUAUUAUCUUGCCAAUGAUAUAUCUUUUGUGAAGGUUUAUUAAUGAAAUUCUGUAUUCAGCUCCGAGUCCAUUGCAAGAUAUCUUCUUUCUCACAUGGAUGCAACAAUGUAAUUGGCUCUCAAUAUUAUUGUUUGGUAAAUACUGUAGGACAGGAGCCCUCAGGAGCUAUGGGAUUCUUUGAACAUGGUGCCACUGUGAAGAUGGGAAGGUGAACUCUGUUUUCAUAAACUAGGAGGUCAAAUAUGCUCAUGUCUCUGUGCACAAAGUCUGUGUAGUUCCAGCAUUGGGACAGUCAGCUUUAUUCUAGACAGCAUCACUCCUUAGAGCGGGCAGGUUGUCAGGGCUUUUCCCUUAAACUUAUUUCAGGCUGCUGAUAGGGCUGUUUACUUUGAAUGGAUUGCACCCUUGGAUUUAGAAUCUAAUUGUGGAGGAAAAGACUUGAGAAGAAUCCAAGAAUCUGCGACCUGGUUCUGUAUUCUGCUGACAGGAGGAACCUUUAGAGGUCUUCCGUAAUUAUACUCAUAGAGGGUAAGUCAAUUUAUGAUUUAAUUUAUUUUCAAAAUGCCUUUCCUGUAGUCAUUUUGUUCACAUUUAUGUUUCUUUUCUUUUCCUUUCUUUUUCCUCUAUUUCUCCUCCUCCCACUCUUCUUCUCCUCCUUCUUCUUCUUCCUCCUCCUCUCCCCUCCUUCUUCCCCUUUCCCCCUCCUUCUCCUCCUCCUCUUCCUCCUUCAUCUUUGGUUUAUUUUUUUCCUACCAGAAUGCGUGUGUCAAAAGGUAGAGUAGAAUACACGUGUCAAAACAGAUUGAGUGUCUGUUUGUCUUGCUCUAUCCCUGUUGCUUCCCAUCCUCACCAGCUCUUGUUCCAGCUUUCACCUUUUCCAUUCUAAUAGGGGCACUCUGUGUACACCAUUUUAUUAACAUUUCUAUUUGUAUUUUUCCCAAUGACAUAUGGUGUAGAGUGUUUUCUCCCUUUUUUUCUUAUGAAUACCCCCAUUAGUGAGGUAUUUGAUAAUUGUUAUUUAUUCAUUUUAUAUCAUUAAUUUAUUCUGUGUGUGUAGUGUAGGGGGCACAUGCAGACACACAUAUGCAGAUCAGAGAACAACUUGCUGGAGUCAGUUCUCUCUUUCUACUGGGUGCAUACCAGAGGUUGAAUAAAGUCCUUGGGCUUCAUGACAAGUGUCUCUACUGGCCAUGCCAUCUUCUCUGUCUUGUGUUUGCUAGUUCUAUUUAACAUGGUUAUUUGUUUACCUGAGUUUUGAGAGUGUGAAUAUUUUGAAUAAAAAUUAUUCAUCUAGAAUAAAUGACUAAUAUAUUUUAGACUUUAAUUUUGCAAUGUUUUCUAGUUCUUUGGCUUGUCUCUAUUCUCUUGAUAGUACGUUCAGGAAAGCUCAAAUAGAAAUUUCUAUUGGUAUCCAGUUUCUAAAUUCUUUCUGUCAUGGAUUAUGCUCGUUCUUCUGUGUUCAUGUAAACAUUUAAUUCAUUUCAAAUUUUGCAUUGAGAUCUAUAAACCAGUUUGAGUUAUUAUAUGAAAAUAUGUGUCUGAAUUUCUUUUGUUUGUGGAUAUCUAAUUGUUUUAGCACAAUUGUUAAAAGGGCAUUUUUCUCAUUGUCUUGAAGACCGGUUGAAUAUGUUUGUAUGGGUUAAUUUCUGGACUCCAUGGUCCAUUGUAUCUAUUUGUCCUUCUUUUACUGAGAAUGUUUUCAUAGUAUUUCUCAUCAUAAGCACUAGCCAUCCUCUAUUCCGCAUCAUGGCCGUCUACAUGAAAACUUUAGGAAUUAAUAGUAUUUUUCACCUUUAAAAUCACCUUAGGGAACAUGGGGGAGUACUCAGAGGAGGAACAGAGGGAAGGGAAACUACAAUCAGGACAUAUUGCAUUAGAAAACAAUUUAUUUUCAAUAAAAGAAAAAACAAAGAAUGUUUUAAGUAUAUUUUAUGUGUAUGAGUGUUCUGCCUGUAUGUCUCUCUACC